UCUCCAGCUCCUUCUGACAUCAGGCGCGAUGGGAGGUCUGAAGGAGAUGGUUCUAUCCUCCGGGUAUAUCAUACCAAAGAAGGGGAUUUUAUUGAAUGCCAGGGGAUAAGGAAAGCAAAGCACUGCAGGGACAUUUGGUCAGUGGGGACUCAUCGGAUAAGAGGAGAAGGAGGAGUGGCCUCAAUAAACCAAGUCAAGGUAAUUGACUUUGCCCAACGUCAGGAGGUCACUCGAGAGUGGGUGGUGAGCAGCCGUUUCCUCCCUUAUUCCUUGCUCUAACCACACCCCCCACCCUGCAGUGCACGGAUCUGGAGUGUGUUCUUCACAGAGCACCAGCAGCACCGAUGGUAGCCUCACCCCCACGGGCACCCCAAAUUGUUGCAGUGUUACCUGCCUUCCCCAGCGCCCUGCAUCCUGGCCCGUGGCUGCAAUCGCUAUUCUUGGCGGAGACUCUAGUGGGGAUAAGAAACAAACCAAACAAAUGGCCAGCCCUUUCGUGGCCCAGUUUCUAAGAUUCAGUGAGUGUGCCAUCUGGAAGUGGAUCCUCCUGUUCCAGUUGAGCCUUCAGAUGACAGCAGCCUCCUGAGACAUCCUGAGCCAGAAGGACCCAGCAGAGCCACUUCCAGGUUCCUGACAUUCAGAAACUGUGUGUGGUAAUAAAUGUUUACAGUCGUUGUAA